rnacentral:rRNA from 1 species
CCCUUAGACGUUCUGGGCCGCACGCGCGCUACACUGACCAGUGCAACAAGCAUCCGUCCUUGGCCGACAGGCCCGGGCAAUCUUUGAACGCUGGUCGUGAUGGGGAUAGACUUUUGCAAUUUUCGGUCUUCAACGAGGAAUUCCUAGUAAACGCAAGUUAUCAACUUGCAUUGAUUACGUCCCUGCCCUUUGUACACACCGCCCGUCGCACCUACCGAUUGAAUGGUCCGGUGAAGCCUCCGGAUUGGCGCGCACCUCGGUGCCGCCGAGAAGUUGGCUAAACCUUACCAUUUAGAGGAAGGUGAAGUCGUAACA